rnacentral:rRNA from 1 species
CUCGUAGGCGGUUCGUCGCGUCCGGUGUGAAAGUACCAUCGCUUAACGGUGGAUCUGCGCCGGGUACGGGCGGGCUGGAGUGCGGUAGGGGAGACUGGAAUUCCCGGUGUAACGGUGGAAUGUGUAGAUAUCGGGAAGAACACCAAUGGCGAAGGCAGGUCUCUGGGCCGUUACUGACGCUGAGGAGCGAAAGCGUGGGGAGCGAACA